UCGGGUGUUUCUAACUGCUUGCUUUACCUAAAUACACAGCACAUAAUUUAUUUUGUGUAUAAUAUAUUCAAAUUGUAUGACGACGUAAGUACAGUAAUUAAAAUUGUAUUGCAAAAAUAAAUAAAAAUUGCAAGAAAAUAGCUUAGGAUUUCCUAUGAAAGACACCACUAUCGUAAAGACGCUAAACGAGCACUCUUUCAUAGCGCGUCCUAACUUCUACGUAUUACUACACUGCACAAACCAACUUUCUCUUCCGUUAUUAAAGCCACCUAAGUACUAUUGUCAUCAAAAUAACAUUCCGAUACCAAGAGAUCUUUGCGGCACACGAAGAGCGGCUGUUGACCCGUAUAGCGCCAAUUAGUGCUGUAUUGGAUACUGCAUUAGUAUUGUUCAUCUGUCGUGUGUGAGAAUAAUCAAAGCGGCACUAGAUGCCGGCCGCGCGGCGGCGCGCCGGUGUAGGUCAGAGAAACUGAGCUUGUAUGCCACGAAGACGCGGGGCUAAUAAUGCGCGUUAUAUCUACCGGCAUACUUCCGCCUUAACCGGCGCAUUCGGAUCUUCUGUAACGCUCGCAUCUCUGCUGACUUUCCGUUUCUUCUCUUGGACGGCUAUUGACUUUCACUUGGUCAACGCGGAAUUACCUGGCAUCUUUUUGCCGUGUUUACUGCGUAUCGCGGAUAGAGAAUGCGGAGAACAGUAUUAUCGGUAUCCCUGUGUUUUGCCCUCCUGGCUGGAGUCAACGGUGCUCCGGCCAUUCCCUUCCAUCAUCCGGCUAUUGAAGCCAGGUAUUCAGGAGGCGGCGGAGAUGGUAAUGUGGUCCAGAACAGCAACGACGCCGAAAUGGGCCAGCUAAGUGGAAUAUUCA